rnacentral:rRNA from 1 species
AACGUAGGAGACAAACGUUAUCCGGAGUUACUGGGCGUAAAGGGCGUGUAGGUGGUUUUGUAAGUCUGGCGUGAAAUUUUUCGGCUUAACCGGGAAAGGUCGUCGGAUACUGCAAGGCUAGAGGACGGUAGAGGCGUGUGGAAUUCCCGGUGUAGCGGUGAAAUGCGCAGAGAUCGGGAGGAACACCCGUAGCGAAGGCGGCGCUCUGGGCCGGUACUGACGCUGAGGAGCGAAAGCGUGGGGAGCAAACAGG